rnacentral:lncRNA from 9 species
GUUUAUAAUCCUUUCCCUACACUUAUAUUCCCCAAGGUAUCUUAUAUCCCUAAGGAAACCAUCUUAAGGAGACAGAAAUAUCAGUUCUGCCUUUGGGGGUACCAGGAACAUAGACCAGCAUCUCCCCAGAGGAUCACUUCAAUGGAUUGUUAAUGAUUCCACAUGUGCACAGGAUGGAGAGAGUGAGGCUGAGUUUUUACCUGAUGACUUUGAAGAAAAACCAGAAAGAGAAAGAAAACAUACCAAUUUCACCUUGUGCAACGUGUGUAACAUUCAGCUGAAUUCGGCUGCUCAAGCCCAAAUCCACUACAAUGGCAAAUCACAUCAAAAGAGAUUAAAACAACUCAGCAAUGGGAUGGUGAAAAAUGACAAUGGUAAGUUUUUCUAAAGAUAUAUUCUCAAUUUUAUAUCAUCAAGUUAUGUGUGUGCCUGCAGAUGUGAAAGCAAAAUAAUAGACUAUUCCCUAUUUUUAAAACAGGAAACAUUAAAUAAAAGCCUUAUCAGUAUAGUAUGUUAAAAUCAAAAGUUUCUCACAGUUCUUUGGGGGAGAAAGGGAGAUUUUGUUGCCUAUGCUUAAGUGUAUUAGGAUUGUGAUUAUGAUCUACUAGGACACUUGGAAUGAUUUUAAAAAGUUGUAGUUAGAUUUUCUUGGCAUUUGACUUUAACCGUAGUAAUUUGGAAAUGGCCAUUCUAUUACAUUUUAUAUGAAACAAUGGUUUUAUGUGUUUGUUUUGUGUCUGUUGGGGCUUUAAUUGGUUAAUAAGAUUGCAACGGAGUUGAAAAACUACAUAUUUUUUCAAGUAGAUGUUUUAACCAAUAAAAUGUGAUCUAUCAGUACAUAUAGAUUGUUUAAAUUUGCUAGUAAAAAUUCAUGGUUUGCUAAUCACUUUAGUACACUUUUUAAAAGUGUAAGUUGAAUUUAGGAAUAAGAAGAUUUUAGAAAUAGCACACAUAUACUUUUGGAAAUAAAUGGAAAGUUGUUAGAAAAAGCAUGGAGAGUUGAGGGAGAGGGCAGAAUUCUAUAACAGCAGUUUGGAGAGCUGAAACAAUGACCACUCCAAAGAGUUACAAUAUUGUGUUCUGGUUGGAUGUUUCAUGUUUCAUAGAUAAGACAUAUUUU